GAGAUGCUGGAGCUGGCAGAGGAAGAGAGAAGAAGUGAAUGGCAUGGAAAUGAUGCUGGCAGGGAGCUCCAUGAUGAGCAGAGGCUCUCUCAGAAUGGUGAGGCUGACAAGUGAUAUUCCACAUGGACCUGACUGCUUUGUGGCUCACCUUGGGCUUCUCAGCUCUCCACAGAGAUCCAUCACCUCUUCUCUGGAGUGCAGCACAUUCAUAGAUUAGUGGCGCAGUUCCACCUGGAUUUACACCCGGAGUAUCCACGGCCUUCACCUAAUUCAUGUGGAGACCUGCCAAAGGAAAGCCUUGCAUCUGUCAAUAACUUGUGGAAAGUGAUUCCUCAUUUCUGAGAUACCUACCAGGAAUGGCAGAUUUAGCAAGAGUUUCUAAGUUCCUCAGACAAUUAGAAAAUACCCCAAGCCUCUGCAACAGAUCUUCCCAAGGAUGAUGUGUCACCACUUGAAGACUGAUCCCACGAAGGACAAACCAAUUCUGAAAUGCUGUGUGGCAGCUUUGCAAGGAGGGAAAUCCUCCAAUGAGGAUUGCACAGCACUUCCAGUCAUCUCAGUUAGCACUUGGACCAAAUGUGGAACUGAACUCCAGAGAUGUGCUGCUGUGAUGGAAAUUUCUGUUCCAACA